rnacentral:rRNA from 1 species
GAGGGGGCAAGCGUUGUUCGGAAUUACUGGGCGUAAAGGGCGCGUAGGCGGCCUGCUAAGUCGAACGUGAAAUCCCUGGGCUCAACCCAGGAACUGCGUCCGAUACUGGUUGGCUUGAAUCCGGGAGAGGGAUGUGGAAUUCCAGGUGUAGCGGUGAAAUGCGUAGAUAUCUGGAGGAACACCGGUGGCGAAGGCGACAUCCUGGACCGGCAUUGACGCUGAGGCGCGAAAGCCAGGGGAGCAAACGGGAUUAGAUACCCCGGUAGUCCUGGCCCUAAACGAUGAAUGCUUGGUGUGGUGGGUAUCGAUCCCUGCCGUGCCGAAGCUAACGCAUUAAGCAUUCCGCCUGGGGAGUACGGUCGCAAGGCUG